rnacentral:rRNA from 1 species
UACGGAGGGUGCGAGCGUUGUCCGGAAUUAUUGGGCGUAAAGAGCUCGUAGGCGGUCUGUCGCGUCGGCUGUGAAAUCCCGAGGCUCAACCUCGGGUCUGCAGUCGAUACGGGCAAACUAGAGUAUUGCAGGGGAGACUGGAAUUCCUGGUGUAGCGGUGAAAUGCGCAGAUAUCAGGAGGAACACCGGUGGCGAAGGCGGGUCUCUGGGCAAUAACUGACGCUGAGGCGCGACAGCGUGGGGAGCAAACAGG